rnacentral:rRNA from 1 species
UACGGAGGAUGCGAGCGUUAUCCGGAUUUAUUGGGUUUAAAGGGUGCGUAGGCUGUUUGUCAAGUCAGGGGUGAAAUACCCGGGCCCAACCUGGGAACUGCCUUUGAUACUGGCAGGCUUGAAUACUGUUGCCGUGGGAGGAAUGAGUAGUGUAGCGGUGAAAUGCAUAGAUAUUACUCAGAACACCGAUUGCGAAGGCGUCUCACGAAACAGCGAUUGACGCUGAGGCACGAAAGCGUGGGGAUCAAAC